rnacentral:rRNA from 1 species
ACGAACGCUGGCGGCAGGCCUAACACAUGCAAGUCGAGCGCUACCUUCGGGUGGAGCGGCGGACGGGUUAGUAACGCGUGGGAAUAUACCCAGUUCUAAGGAAUAGCCACUGGAAACGGUGAGUAAUACCUUAUACGCCCUUCGGGGGAAAGAUUUAUCGGAAUUGGAUUAGCCCGCGUUAGAUUAGAUAGUUGGUGAGGUAAAGGCUCACCAAGGCUACGAUCUUUAGCGGGUCUGAGAGGACGAUCCGCCACAUUGGGACUGAGACACGGCCCAGACUCCUACGGAGGCAGCAGUGGGAAUAUUGG